UUAGAGUUUUGGAUCUGGCUCAGAUUGAACGCUGGCGGAAUGCUUUACACAUGCAAGUCGAACGGCAGCACGGACUUCGGUCUGGUGGCGAGUGGCGAACGGGUGAGUAAUGUAUCGGAACGUGCCCAGUCGUGGGGGAUAACGUAGUGAAAAUUACGCUAAUACCGCAUACGAUCUAUGGAUGAAAGCGGGGGAUCGCAAGACCUCGCGCGAUUGGAGCGGCCGAUAUCAGAUUAGGUAGUUGGUGGGGUAAAGGCCCACCAAGCCAACGAUCUGUAGCUGGUCUGAGAGGACGACCAGCCACACUGGAACUGAGACACGGUCCAGACUCCUACGGGAGGCAGCAGUGGGGAAUUUUGGACAAUGGGCGCAAGCCUGAUCCAGCCAUUCCGCGUGCAGGAUGAAGGCCCUCGGGUUGUAAACUGCUUUUGUACAGAACGAAAAGGUUUCUACUAAUACUAGGAGCUCAUGACGGUACUGUAAGAAUAAGCACCGGCUACUAC
rnacentral:rRNA from 1 species